ACGGAAGGCCGCAGUGGGGAAUAUUGCACAAUGGGGGAAACCCUGAUGCAGCGACGCCGCGUGAAGGAAGAAGUAUCUCGGUAUGUAAACUUCUAUCAGCAGGGAAGAUAAUGACGGUACCUGACUAAGAAGCCCCGGCUAACUACGUGCCAGCAGCCGCGGUAAUACGUAGGGGGCAAGCGUUAUCCGGAUUUACUGGGUGUAAAGGGAGUGUAGGUGGUUUGGCAAGCCAGAUGUGAAAGCCCGGGGCUCAACCCCGCGGACUGCAUUUGGAACUGUUAAACUUGAGUGCAGGAGAGGAAAGUGGAAUUCCUAGUGUAGCGGUGAAAUGCGUAGAUAUGAGGAGGAACACCAGUGGCGAAGGCGGCUUUCUGGACUGUAACUGACACUGAGGCUCGAAAGCGUGGGGAGCAAACAGGAUUAGAUACCCUGGUA
rnacentral:rRNA from 1 species